rnacentral:rRNA from 1 species
UACGGAGGGGGCUAGCGUUGUUCGGAAUUACUGGGCGUAAAGCGUGCGCAGGCGGUUUGUUAAGCCAGAUGUGAAAGCCCUGGGCUCAACCUGGGAACUGCGUUUGGGACUGGCAAGCUAGAGUACGGCAGAGGGGGGUGGAAUUCCACGUGUAGCAGUGAAAUGCGUAGAUAUGUGGAGGAACACCGAUGGCGAAGGCAGCCCCCUGGGCCGAUACUGACGCUCAGGCACGAAAGCGUGGGGAGCAAACAGG